UAAAUAUUGCUGCUCUUGCUUUCAUAUCUGUACUUUUACCUUGCAUUCCUGAGAGAUACAGUUUUUGUUAUUUGCCGCAAUCUACUAUUCCCCAAAAUCACUGAUGACAGAAUGAUAAUAAUAUUUGCAAAUAUUUCCCCUUAAGUUCUUAAGUUUUCAGUCAUUAAGAAAGAAAGAAAGAAAGAAAGAAAGAAGGGAGGGAGGAAAGAAGGGAAGAAAGAAAAUGUUAAAGGUACCAAGGACAUUCUGAGCUUACAGCUGGUUUCAGCAAUUUUCACUUACGCAAGACCCCAUGUUUGUGAAAACAACCCAAGAAUCUUUAAGCAGGAUGUAAUCAACCUCUGAGCUUCUGAGAAACACUGCAAAAAUGACUUCAGCUGCCCAAAAUAAUAAUGUCCUUUACAAGCAGCUCUUCCUAUAUCUAAGGAAGAGCUAACCACAUGUGAGUUUUUGCUGGCUUCUGGGGAACAAGCAAAGAAAAUGACAAAUCCCAUCUACUCCACCCUAAAAUAUACAGUAAGCACCAGAAUCCUGCCGGAAGCUGUGAACCAUUCCAAAAGGUGCUGGAAGUAUCACAGAAGACUUAUAUCCAGAAUAAUUCUGAAUGAGCAAGUGCCAAGCCUGAAAUUGCAGGAAAAAGGGACAUGGAUGGGGACAAAGGCUUAUGAGGAAAGACAGAUGAAACAGAUGAACAGAAAGAACUUCAGUUCUUCCCAGUGUCAUUUAGUAGCUCGAGCAACCCUGAGUUAAUUCUCAUCUUUUAAGACAAAGUUCUUGAAGAAGAACCUCUUGGCUCUCUUAAUGACAAAGGCAUUUUUUCUCUGUGGCUCUGAAGCACCCCUGGCAGCUCUCUUAGCCCCUGUCCUGCUGGACUGUGUUCUGGGUCGUGGCUCUGUCUCGCACUAGGCAU
rnacentral:lncRNA from 1 species